rnacentral:lncRNA from 1 species
UCUUUCAAAUGACACAAACAGAAUUAUUCAGGAAGUGGGAAAAGUAUCUUAUGUAGAAUCAAAGCUUAAACCAAUGAAUGAUGGUAUGAGUUCCUGUAGUUGUCUUUGCUUAAACUAAGGAAAAGUAUCUGAUGCAUCUUAUUAGGAAAUUUGACAUGUGCAGUAAACUCAGGAAGGAUGGUACGAGUUCCUGAAUUUUAGACGAAGCUAGCAGAUUCCAACUGAGACUUAUUCCUGUCAAAUUAGGCAUACAUUUUAC